AAUCCGGCCAUUUUGCCCCUCUGCCUCUCGCCAGCACCUUUUCUUCUAUAAUCUGCGGGACAAAUAAUCAAAGACAAAACCAAUCUGCAUUCAGGAAAUAACUCUGUUUCAAGAUGGUGGAAGCAAUCCCAAAGCCUAUCAAAGACAUAUGGGACACAUGGAGUAUCCGAACUACCUUAAUCUUCAGUCUCAGUUUCCAAUCGUUUCUCAUUUUCUUUGCACCUCAAAGGAAACGCACAUCCAGAAAGCAAUGGUGGAAGUGAUACCAAAACACAUCAAGGAUGUGUGGGACAGAUGGAACAUAAGAGGAGCAAUCAUUCUGAGCCUCACCCUCCAAGCAAUUCUCAUUUGCUUCUCACCUCUAAGGAAACGCACACCAAGAAGACUCUUGAUCAUGCUCGUCUGGUCUUUUUACCUCUUAGCAGAUUGGUCAGCUAAUUUUGCCGUUGGUCUCAUCUCCAAGAACCAAGGUAAAUAACUCAAGAAAGAUGACCCUCCACAGGACAAGAAGCUCAUGGCCUUAUGGGCACCAUUCUUGCUCUUACAUCUUGGCGGACCAGACACUAUCACAACUUUUGCCCUUGAAGACAAUGCUCUUUGGCUCAGACAUGUCUUCGGACUUGUCUUUCAGGCAAUUGCUGGUGUUUAUGUUGUUCUUCAGUCUAUCCCCAAUAGCCUCUGGUUGAUAAUACUCUUAGUGUUUAUCUCUGGGACUAUAAAGUAUCUAGAGAGGACAACGGCUUUGUAUAGUGCUAGUUUGGAUAAGUUUAGAGACUUUAUGAUUCAAGCACCGGAUCCCGGACCAAACUACGCGAAGCUCAUGGAGGAGUACAAGGCCAAGAAAGAGGCAAGACUACCCACAAAGAUCAUUCUGAUUGAUGAGCCUGAUAAGGAGAAUAAGCCUAAGAAGUUGGUGCAUCCAGCACAAGCCUCGGAGAUUAGAAAAGACAAAGAAAAGAGUAAGUUGACUGAUCUUGAGAUUGCUCAGUAUGCUUACAAGUUCUUCAACACAUUCAAGGGCCUUGUGGUCAACCUUAUCUUCAGCUUCAGGGAGCGCGACGAGAGCCUAGAGAUCUUUCAGAAUCUUACUGAUCCAGAGGAAGCUUUGAGGAUCAUUGAAGUUGAGCUUGGAUUCCUCUAUGAUGCUCUGUUCACCAAGGUCGCUGUUCUUCAUACCCUUAUCGGAACUAUAUCACAGGUGGUUGCUUCAGGGACCCUUGUGGCAGCUUUCAUCCUCUUUCAUAAGAAACCAAACAAAGGCAGAGAGUUUCAUCCAGCUGAUGUUGUGGUUACUUACACGCUGUUUGCAGUUGGCUUAGCUUUGGAUCUCAUAUCAAUCCUCUUGUUUCUGUUUUCUGACUGGACUUGUGCUGCACUUAGUAGCUUGAAGGAUGACCCCGACGAAGAUCUAUCACCGAAAGAUCAGUUUUUCAACUGGCUACUUAGUCUCAGAAAGCUUAGUUGGACGAUGCAAGAGUGUAACAAGGAAGGUGAUGAUAAGUGUUCAAAGCAUGAAGUGCUGACGACUGGAUUCUUCCUCAGGAGAUGGUGUGGAAGCAUUAACGUGUUUAACUUCCUAGCCUACGCCACAAAUGCAAAGGUAGCGAGGAUCCAUGACGCAAGAGGUAGACUCCGCCGCUACGCAUGGACUGCCUUAACUUACCCAUUUGAGAAGCUCAGCUUUAUCAUCCAAACACUUGGUGGAUUGGUUCCCAAGUUGAUCAACGCUGUGCACAAGAGGAUCAGCCACAAAGUCAAUGAGACAUCAAGAAAACAUCCUUGGGUUCGUAGUACUAUCUACCCUUUCUAUUUCGGGUUCCUUUCCCGCAUUCCUCACUUCAUCAAGAUUGUGUGGGAUAAGUUCAGCGACUUCUUCGACAUCUCGGAUAUGCUUGAUAUGGUUUACAAGAUGCUGUUUCUGCACGGAGAGCCCAUGACUAAAGAACUCUGGGCGUUCAUGUUCAAUGAGCUGAAAUACAAGUCAAAGUUUGGAGACAGUCCUGAAAAUGCUAAAAGGAUAUCUCUGGCUCGAGGACAAUGGACUCUGCGAGACAACCUUCCAGAGGAUGCAGACAGGGAGAAGCUGGUGGGUUAUGUCACAAACUUUGAUUAUGAUCAGAGUCUUUUGAUGUGGCACAUUGCAACCGAGCUCUGUUACCAACAGGAAGAGACUAUCCCUUGGUAAGAGACUAUCCCUGAGGGAUAUGAUAAAAGUAAGCAUUACAGCAACCGUGAGUUCAUCAAAAUCAUUUCAGACUACGUGAUGUAUCUCCUCAUCAUGCAACCUGGUCUGAUGUCCGAGGUUGCUGGAAUUGGGAAGAUUAGAUUCAGAGACACAAUGGCUGAAGCUGACAAGUUCUUCCACAUGAGGCAUAUUGAGAACGUUAGAGAUGUGAAGAUAGCUAGCAAGACGAUCCUCGACGUCAGUAGUGAUAUUGAUCCAAUGGGUGUUAAGGGAGAUCGAAGCAAGUCUGUGUUGUUUGAUGCUAGCAGGCUAGCUAAGGACCUUAGGCAGCUGGAAGAGAGGUAUGGGAAAGACAAAUGGGAGAUACUGAGCAAAGUGUGGGUGGAACUGCUAUGUUAUGCAGCGUGUCAUUGUGAUUCUACAGCUCAUGUGGAGCAGCUUAGUAGAGGUGGUGAGCUGAUCAACUUUGUUUGGCUUUUAAUGGCUCACUUUGGAUUAACAGACCAGUUCCAGAUCAACAAAGGAGAUGCCAGAGCGAAACUCAUAAUAGGCAAGUGAUCAAAAAACACAUUUCCUGGUGUCUUAUUCAAUAUUGCAUUGUAGUUCUUCUACUUUCUAUGCACAACUAUGAACUCUUUUCUGCAUAGAAAUGUUGUUGACAUUGUAUGUUUUAUGAUGGAAUCUUGUGAUGUCUAUUGCACUGUUUUCUCAAGCAUCAACUCUUUCUCAAGUAUGUAUGCUUUAAGACCAGUAUGGCACAAUCACUCUGUGAUCUUCAAUAAGACUGAAGAAAGAAGAAACCACAGACACAAAUCAAAUCGAGUGAAAUCAAAACUCCAAGUGUACAAUGGAUCAACCAACAGAUCACAUCGAUGCUUGAAAAUCGUUCAGGGUAUCUAACCUUUUCUUCUAGGGCUGGAUCAAAUCGUUAUCCCUCCCAUUCUUCAGUUUCAGUAUUGUUUAAUUUUUUUGUUCCGUCAAUUGAUUUAUAUUAAACAUUUGGAUGGAAUACAAGUUGCGAUACAUAAGCCAGUUGAACA